UCCACGUUUUAGUAGAUCCGC
rnacentral:misc_RNA from 1 species